GUCAUUGCCGUGGGCUAGCCAAGUGGUUUCCCUGGUAUUAAUACCGUUGAGAAAAUCUGUCUUUCAAGUUUUAGCUAAGUUAGAAUAGAUCUCGACUAAAAUUACUUGCUUGUAGAAGCUAGCCUAGAUCUAUAGUCAACUAAGUUCUUGAUCCUAAAUCUACAACCGAAUCAGUGUAAAUUUUAUUUUAAAUACGGUAAUAAUUAUAAUAGAUCAACAAUCUAGAUCUAUUUAGAAUCAUCAGGUAGAAUGCUACUUCGUGUUCUCAAACAGCACUAGGGAGUUCUUCUUGGAGUUGUUACCUUUUAUACGUGCACCUAAUCUUGCAGAUUUGUCUGGAUCAACAAUAUCAUUUUUUUCCACAGCGUUGAAAGCAUUUUGAAUGGAUGUCUAGAUCAAUAAGGGAUGUGGAACGAGAUACAUACAAUGCAGUGAAGAUGGAAGAGCAACAUGUUGGAGAUUUAAUAAAAAAAAAACAAUUCGUAAAAUAGUUCUUCAGUCAGUCUGACGCCGGACAGACAUAACAAACAUCAUGAGAAUCCGAUCAAAAGACAUUCAAUUAAAAAAAAAGAUUGCAGUCACUGAUAACAAAUUUUUCUUAAACACAGAAAUGAUCAGCUCACAUUUUUUAGAGCAACUUCAACAAAAAAAAGUUAAUAGAAUAUACGAUUGAGUUUCCAUAGAAACAUCUUUUUACUGCAUAACUGAUAAAAUCAGUCUUUUCCUGGCACACUACAUCUGCUUCAGUAGUAAGACACAACAAUGUCAUACAAGAUGUGUAACACUGAGUGAAGAAUGAGAGUACACUGAUGAAAAAAAAGUGAUCUCACAAGACAAUGAUGAUAGAUGAUGGUGGUGACAUGAUAUUUUACCUAGAAAUCCAUGAUGAAGUUCAUCUGUGAUCAAAAAUGGGAUAGGAUUUUACUCAUAUUGUGUUAUUCAACGGUUCAACGGUCAACUCCUCCAAUUUCAAUCUGAACCUUGACAUGUAAGAAGUUUUAUUAUAUGUAUUUACUUGUAUCUUUAAUUUAAUCCACUAAUUCUUUGUAGAAUAAAAAUUUAGUCUUAGCUACUGAUAUUCAUUUUAAACCGACACUAAAAUUAAACAGGUGACACUAAACAUCACACAACUUUUUUUUGAAUAAAGAUAUUUAUUUAUUUAAUAACAACCUAAGACAACUUUCACUACCUGCUGUUAUUUGAUUCUUACUAAAUGAAUUAAAUAUUUUUUAAUAAUUGUUUUUUUCUGAAGAGACAUGUUUAUCCAUUGAAAUUAUCACAUCCUGUCUUCAAACCAUCAUUCACUCUAUACCACAGUUUAGCCAAAAACAUACUUCAAGCUUUUAAAUAAAAUAAAUAGUUAAGAGGCAAGGUAUGGGAUAUAGAUACACCAAUAAAAAAAAUGACAUUGAAAAGGGAGAUAAAAGGGGAAAAACCAACACUACCAAACGAUCACAAGAGUAGCCUUCUCCCAAAACAAAGUUGAUAAGGAAUGGAUUAAUUUUUUUUUUUUAAAUUAUAAAAUUUAAACACAAAAGUAAAGUCACACUUCUUGUAUUUCAUGUUUAUUACUUUUGAUAAAUAAAAAAAAAAGAAGAAUAACAUGUACAAGCAGGUAGGUAUAAGAAAAAGAAGAGUAAAGUGGGGAUUUUUUUUCUAUAAGAAAUCCAAAAUGCAAGUUGCUGUUCUAUAUAAAUUCCACUGCCCUUGCAAUAUGUUUAUUUUAGAGAAAAUAUUUGAUACAAGUUCAACCAUUAGAAGGUAACUAUGAACAUUAUUGUUAGAGCCUUUACCUUCACUUAUUCCUUAUGAUGGCAACAAUAGCCAGCAAGACAACAACUUACAAUGUGUUUGAAAGAAAUGACAAAUGGGACUUUCAUUUGACAAAAAAUGUUUUCUUAAGACUUAGAUUUGCCUUCAUGCAUAAACUUUAUCUUGAAAAAUACUUGCAAUACUCAAGUACUUAUUUAUUAUAUUAUCUUUUUUUAAUAAGAUCAUGAAAAUUCAAAAUUAUUUUUUUUACGCUCAAAUGACUGAUGCCAAUUAAAAAAAAAAAAAAUUCUUUGGUAUUUCUUGCUUUAACUUUUGCUUUUAACAUUUGUACUUAUCACAUCAUUUCAUAUAAAUAAGCAAUAUUAUUGUAUUUUUGUGCUGUAAGUUCUUGCUCUUCAUGUUUCUUAAGAGUUUAAUUAUGUAAGCAAUAAAAGGCAAGAAAACAACAACACAUACAACAAUCAAAAAGUCUAUUAGCUUCAGGUAAUAUAAAGAAAUAAAAAUGUGUGGGAUUGAAAACAUGCUGUAAUAGUAUCCACCCUGGAUCCUUCAUAACUUCACAACAAAGCUAGACAAUAACUUGCCACAAACUUAAAAAAAAAAAGGAACAAAAGAAAAGGUUGACAUAUAAGAGAAAACCUACCUGGCCGAGGAUCCAUGCUGUUAGGCAUAGGCAUUUGUCCACCCCCUGGUCCUGGAGGCUACAAAAAAAAUAUAAAAAAUGUCAAAGUGAAAAACAACUGAAAAACACUUCCUCCAUGUUUAUUGUCCAAGGACCACCUUCCAAUAAACUCUCCAUAAUUCAGGAGGUAAGUUAAAAUGACUUUUUCCUGAUUUCACACACCAAAUCUCCCACUUCUAAAAAUACAUUUAGCAAUGUAACAGAUACUAAACUAAGUUUCCUAUAUAGCAAAAUAAAAAAAAAUGUAUUUAUUACUAAUAUGCUUUCAAGAUGAAAAUUUAUCUUUAUCAUAGAUUUUGAUAUUAAGCUAGUUUGCAGUGCUUUUUUUUGUCUAACUUUAAAUUAUCUAAAAUUUUGAUUUAUAAAAACUAUUACUGCCUACAAAAGUUUAAAUAACAAAAACAAUUAUUAAACUUUACAAAGUACAAUAUGGUUUAGAAUGAUAUAGUUCUACAAUUUUUAUUGAUAUAUUUUGCUAGUUACUUCUCUUUAAAAAUUUUUUUUUUUAGCAAUUUAAACAUUGCUAUGUAAACUGAUCAGAGAUCAUCACUGAUCAAAUACAAAACCAGACAAAUAAUAUUGCAAUUAGGAUUUAGAAGUGUUAGGUGAGAUUUAAAAAAAUAUUUGCUUCAUAAUAAUUAAAUGAAUAGGGUCAAAUUAUUAUUGACAGGCUAAUAAUGUUUUACAAAAAUUUUUGUAAUAAAAUUUUAGAUUUAAGUGCUAGACCUAAAACAAAAAAAUUUAGUAAUGGUUUGAUUUUUUUUUAUAUCUAUCAUCACUAUGGGGAUUCUGUGAUAGUAUUUCAUUUAUUUAACUAAAUAGGUUUGUAUUUAUCAUUUUAAUUAUAUAUCAUUGUUGUCUAUCUAC